UACGUAGGAUGCAAGCGUUAUCCGGAUUCAUUGGGCUUAAAGGGCGCGUAGGUGGCCUUAUAAGUCAGUGGUGAAAUCUCUCGGCUUAACCGAGAAAUUGCCAUUGAUACUGUAGGGCUUGAGUAUAGUUGCCGUUGGCGGAAUAUGACAUGUAGUGGUGAAAUACAUAGAGAUGUCAUAGAACACCGAUUGCGAAGGCAGCUGACGAAACUAUAACUGACGCUGAGGCUCGAAAGUGCGGGGAUCAAACAGG
rnacentral:rRNA from 1 species